UUUUACAGCCAUACCACCCUAAACGCGUCCAAUCUCAUCUGAUCUCAGAAGCUAAGCAGGGUCAGGCCUGGUUAGUACUUAGAUGGGAUCAGGGCUUUGAUGAAUUAGGGGAAGAGGUGUUGAGGCAA
rnacentral:rRNA from 1 species